UAUAAGGGAGGAUUUUGAGUUUUUGCUUGUAACGUUUGACCACUCGUCUUAUUCAAAAAUUUUUGAAAUUAUUAUUUAUUUUAUUUGUGACUUACUUUAUUAUCUACAGUACUUUAAGCACAACUUUUCGUUUUUUAUCUUUGCAAAAAAAAAAUUGAAUAAGACAAGUGGUCAAACAUUGCAAGCAAAAACUCAAAAUCGCUUAUAUU
rfam:Oryza glumipatula chromosome 6, whole genome shotgun sequence.